rnacentral:rRNA from 1 species
CCUACGGGUGGCUGCAGUGGGGAAUAUUGCGCAAUGGGGGAAACCCUGACGCAGCAACGCCGCGUGAAGGAAGAAGGCUUUCGGGUUGUAAACUUCUUUGAUCAGGGAAGAAAAAAAUGACGGUACCUGAAAAACAAGCCACGGCUAACUACGUGCCAGCAGCCGCGGUAAUACGUAGGUGGCAAGCGUUAUCCGGAAUUACUGGGUGUAAAGAGCAUGUAGGCGGGAAAGCAAGUCGGAUGUUAAAUCUUGAGGCUCAACCUCAAGUAGCAUCUGAAACUGUUUUUCUUGAGUACUGGAGAGGAAAGUGGAAUUCCUAGUGUAGCGGUGAAAUGCGUAGAUAUUAGGAGGAACACCAGUGGCGAAGGCGGCUUUCUGGACAGUAACUGACGCUGAGAUGCGAAAGUGUGGGUAGCAAACAGGAUUAGAUACCCCGGUAGUC